AAGGGAGAUGGUAGUCUUGGGAGAGUGCUAAUUUUUCCGAGCCAUGGUUAGACUCCACGGGUCCCUUG
rnacentral:tRNA from 1 species